UACGUAGGUGGCAAGCGUUAUCCGGAAUUAUUGGGCGUAAAGAGCGCGCAGGUGGUUGAUUAAGUCUGAUGUGAAAGCCCACGGCUUAACCGUGGAGGGUCAUUGGAAACUGGUCAACUUGAGUGCAGAAGAGGGAAGUGGAAUUCCUGGUGUAGCGGUGAAAUGCGUAGAUAUCAGGAGGAACACCGGUGGCGAAGGCGCCUAUCUGGCCCGAUACUGACGCUGAGGCGCGAAAGCUAGGGGAGCAAACGGG
rnacentral:rRNA from 1 species